GAUGAACGCUGGCGGCGUGCCUAAUACAUGCAAGUCGAGCGAACAGACGAGGAGCUUGCUCCUCUGACGUUAGCGGCGGACGGGUGAGUAACACGUGGAUAACCUACCUAUCAGACCGGGAUAACUUCGGGAAACCGGAGCUAAUACCGGAUAAUAUAUUGAACCGCAUGGUUCAAUCGUGAAAUACGGUUUUGCUGACACUUAUAGAUGGAUCCGCGCCGCAUUAGCUAGUUGGUAAGGUAACGGAUUACCAAGGCAACGAUGCGUAGCCGACCUGAGAGGAUGGUCAGCGACACUGGAACUGAGACACGGUCCAGACGCCUACGGGAAGCAGCAGUAGGGAAUCUUCCGCAAUGAGCGAAAGCCUGACGGAGCAGCGCCGAGUGAGUGAUGAGGGUCUUCGGAUCGGAAAACUCUGUUAUUGGGGAGGAACAAGUGUGUAAGUAGCUAUGCACGUAUUGACGGUACCUAAUCAAAAAGCCACGGCUAACUACGUG
rnacentral:rRNA from 1 species